UUCUGUUGGAGCUAUCGGGAAAAUACUAACGGUUUUGUUUUAGUUUCGUCAUUUUGAAUCCAACGAGACCAUCCGCAAGGUCGUAGCUCUUCUAAUAGCUGAGAUAUGGCAUUUUUGAUGCCCACUUUUGGCCUCAAAAACGGACGUCAAAAACGACUUUUUCACGAUUUUCAAAGUGCUCUCAUUCCCUUAGUUCUGCUUGGAUUCUGUUAUAACCCCGUGUUUUCGUAAUCUAGAUGACCCAAAUAAAAGGCUGGUUUACUUAGUUUGAUUUCGAAAAAAUCAAUUUUUGGUGAAAAAAUUCGAUACGGAGGGGUAUACCCGAAAAAUGAAAAAUUCCAAACUUUGAAGGUCGAUAUCUCGGCUUCUGUUGGAGCUAUCGGGAAAAUACUAACGGUUUUGUUUUAGUUUCGUCAUUUUGAAUCCAACGAGACCAUCCGCAAGGUCGUAGCUCUUCUAAUAGCUGAGAUAUGGCAUUUUUGAUGCCCACUUUUGGCCUCAAAAACGGACGUCAAAAACGACUUUUUCACGAUUUUCAAAGUGCUCUCAUUCCCUUAGUUCUGCUUGGAUUCUGUUAUAACCCGUGUUUUCGUAAUCUAGGUGACCCAAAUAAGACGCUGGUAUACUUAGUUUGAUUUCGAAAAAAAUCAAUUUUUGGUGAAAAAAUUCGAUACGGGGGGGUAUACCCGAAAAAUGAAAAAUUCGAAACUUUGAAGGUCGAUAUCUCGGCUUCUAUGGAAGCUAUCGGGAAAAUUUCAACGGUUUUGUCUUAGUUUCGUCAUUUUAAAUCCAACGAGACCAUCCGCAAGGUCGUAGCUCUUCUAAUAGCUGAGAUAUGGCAUUUUUGAUGCCCAUUUUUGGCCUCAAAAACGGACGUCAAAAACGACUUUUUCACGAUUUUCAAAGUGCUCUCAUUCCCUUAGUUCUGCUUGGAUUCUGUUAUAACCCGUGUUUUCGUAAUCUAGGUGACCCAAAUAAGACGCUGGUAUACUUAGUUUGAUUUCGAAAAAAAUCAAUUUUUGGUGAAAAAAUUCGAUACAGGGGGGUAUACCCGAAAAAUGAAAAAUUCCGAACUUUGAAGGUCGAUAUCUCGGCUUCUAUUGGAGCUAUCGGGAAAAUUCCAACGGUUUUGUCUUAGUUUCGUCAUUUUGAAUCCAACGAGAGCAUCAGCAAUGUCGUAGCUCUUCUAAUAGCUGAGAUAUGGCAUUUUUGAUGCCCAUUUUUGGCCUCAAAAACGGACGUCGAAAACGACUUUUUCACGAUAUUCAAAGUGCUCUCAUUCCCUUAGUUCUGCUCGGAUCCUGUUACAACCCGGUGUUUUCGUAAUCUAGGUGACCCAAAUAAGACGCUGGUAUUCUUAUUUUGAUUUCGAAAAAAAUCAAUUUUUGGUGAAAAAAUUCGAUACGGGGGGGUAUACCCGAAAAAUGAAAAAUUCCAAACUUUGAAGGUCGAUAUCGCGGCUUCUAUUGGAGCUAUCGGGAAAAUUCCAACGGUUUUGUCUUAGUUUCGUCAUUUUGAAUCCAACGAGACCAUCCGCAAUGUCGUAGCUCUUCUAAUAGCUGAGAUAUGGCAUUUUUGAUGCCCAUUUUUGGCCUCAAAAACGGACGUCGAAAACGACUUUUUCACGAUUUUCAAAGUGCUCUCAUUCCCUUAGUUCUGCUCGGAUCCUGUUAUAACCCGGUGUUUUCGUAAUCUAGGUGACCCAAAUAAGACGCUGGUAUACUUACUUUGAUUUCGAAAAAAAUCAAUUUUUGGUGAAAAAAUUCGAUACGGGGGGGUAUACCCGAAAAAUGAAAAAUUCCAAACUUUGAAGGUCGAUAUCUCGGCUUCUAUUGGAGCUAUCGGGAAAAUUCCAACGGUUUUGUCUUAGUUUCGUCAUUUUGAAUCCAACGAGACCAUCCGCAAGGUCGUAGCUCUUCUAAUAGCUGAGAUAUGGCAUUUUUGAUGCCCAUUUUCGGCCUCAAAAACGGACGUCGAAAACGACUUUUUCACGAUUUUCAAAGUGCUCUCAUUCCCUUAGUUCUGCUCGGAUCCUGUUAUAACCCGGUGUUUUCGUAAUCUAGGUGACCCAAAUAAGACGCUGGUAUUCUUAUUUUGAUUUCGAAAAAAAUCAAUUUUUGGUGAAAAAAUUCGAUACGGGGGGGUAUACCCGAAAAAUGAAAAAUUCCAAACUUUGAAGGUCGAUAUCGCGGCUUCUAUUGGAGCUAUCGGGAAAAUUCCAACGGUUUUGUCUUAGUUUCGUCAUUUUGAAUCCAACGAGACCAUCCGCAAUGUCGUAGCUCUUCUAAUAGCUGAGAUAUGGCAUUUUUGAUGCCCAUUUUUGGCCUCAAAAACGGACGUCGAAAACGACUUUUUCACGAUUUUCAAAGUGCUCUCAUUCCCUUAGUUCUGCUCGGAUCCUGUUAUAACCCGGUGUUUUCGUAAUCUAGGUGACCCAAAUAAGACGCUGGUAUACUUACUUUGAUUUCGAAAAAAAUCAAUUUUUGGUGAAAAAAUUCGAUACGGGGGGGUAUACCCGAAAAAUGAAAAAUUCCAAACUUUGAAGGUCGAUAUCUCGGCUUCUAUUGGAGCUAUCGGGAAAAUUCCAACGGUUUUGUCUUAGUUUCGUCAUUUUGAAUCCAACGAGACCAUCCGCAAGGUCGUAGCUCUUUUAAUAGCUGAGAUAUGGCAUUUUUGAUGCCCAUUUUUGGCCUCAAAAACGGACGUCGAAAACGACUUUUUCACGAUUUUCAAAGUGCUCUCAUUCCCUUAGUUCUGCUCGGAUCCUGUUAUAACCCGGUGUUUUCGUAAUCUAGGUGACCCAAAUAAGACGCUGGUAUACUUACUUUGAUUUCGAAAAAAAUCAAUUUUUGGUGAAAAAAUUCGAUACAGGGGGGUAUACCCGAAAAAUGAAAAAUUCCAAACUUUGAAGGUCGAUAUCUCGGCUUCUAUUGGAGCUAUCGGGAAAAUACUAACGGUUUUGUCUUAGUUUCGUCAUUUUGAAUCCAACGAGACCAUCCGCAAGGUCGUAGCUCUUCUAAUAGCUGAGAUAUGGCAUUUUUGAUGCCCAUUUUUGGCCUCAAAAACGGACGUCGAAAACGACUUUUUCACGAUUUUCAAAGUGCUCUCAUUCCCUUAGUUCUGCUCGGAUCCUGUUAUAACCCGGUGUUUUCGUAAUCUAGAUGACCCAAAUAAGACGCUGGUAUACUUAGUUUGAUUUCGAAAAAAAUCAAUUUUUGGUGAAAAAAUUCGAUACGGGGGGGUAUACCCGAAAAAUGAAAAAUUCCAAACUUUGAAGGUCGAUAUCUCAGCUUCUAUUGGAGCUAUCGGGAAAAUUCCAACGGUUUUGUCUUAGUUUCGUCAUUUUGAAUCCAACGAGACCAUCCGCAAGGUCGUAGCUCUUCUAAUAGCUGAGAUAUGGCAUUUUUGAUGCCCAUUUUCGGCCUCAAAAACGGACGUCGAAAACGACUUUUUCACGAUUUUCAAAGUGCUCUCAUUCCCUUAGUUCUGCUCGGAUCCUGUUAUAACCCGGUGUUUUCGUAAUCUAGGUGACCCAAAUAAGAUGCUGGUAUACUUAGUUUGAUUUCGAAAGAAAUCAAUUUUUUGUGAAAAAAUUAUCGAAUUUUAAGAAUACUGCUCCAAAAGACCUUGAAUUUAAGGAAUCACAAAAAGGGUGAAAUUACAAAAACUUAAAAUUUUGGAGUUAAGGUGCAUCGGAACCAAGGGAUGACUUACCCUAUAACCCAAAUAUGGUGGUGGUAGAUUCCCUACCUGUAUAAGAUCUCUACCAAAUUACGCUUUUCUAACUUUUAGUUUUAGAUUUUAUUAUAUUUAAAGUUUUCAAAUUGACACCCUGUAUUUUUUUAUCUAUUUCAAGUUGUUAAUU